rnacentral:rRNA from 1 species
GAUGAACGCUGGCGGCGUGCUUAAUACAUGCAAGUCGAACGGAAAGUUCCUGCCUUGGUGGGGUGCGCGAGUGGCGAACGGGUGAGUAACACGUGGGUAACCUGCCCUUGACUUUGGGAUAACUUCAGGAAACUGGGGCUAAUACCGGAUAGGAGCGCAUGCUGCAUGGCGGGGGUUGGAAAGUUUCGGCGUUUGGGGAUGGAACCGCGGCUUAUGCGCUUCUUGGGGGGGUAGUGGCGUACCACGGCUUCGACGGGUAGCCGGCCUGGGAGGGUGACCGGCCCCAUUGGGCUUCGGAAGGCACCCGGAGUCCUUCGGGCGCCAUGGGUGGGAAUUUGUGCACGCUGGGCCGCAGCCUGGUGCAGCACCGCCGCGUCCUGGAUCUCUGCCUUUGGGUUAUAACCAGCUUUCGCCUGUGACGAAGCGUGCUUGACGGUACCUGGUCAGAAAGCACCGGCUAACUACGUG